rnacentral:lncRNA from 1 species
GGGGGAGCCUGGUGGGCUGCUGUCUAUGGGGUCGCAGGGAGUCGGACAUGACUGAAGUGACUUAGCAGUAGCAGCAGCAGUACCCUACACUAUUCUUUCUUCCUCUGACCCCAGACAGGUUCUGUUUCCUGCAUUCCUGGUGGAUGAAGUGAGCAGAGGUACCUCACCUGCUGAGGGUCAAGGCCGGGUCACCAGUUCAGAUCCCACCAAGCAUUUUUAGGGCACAAGGAGAGUCAGUUGUACCCUUUGCUGCUGCCUCAAAAAAAAUUAAGAAGAUGUGGCCUUCUCUGGUGGUCCAGUGGUUAAGAUUCUGCUUCCACUGCAGGGGGCACAGGUACCAUCCCUGGUAGGAGAGUUCUGCAUGCUGUUGCCAUAUGGCCAAAAAAAUAAGUAAAUAAAUAAAUAGGGAAAGGAGAAACGAAAAUGUUUCAAAGAACCAAAAGUCCAUGAAGUCACAUUCUUAACUACUCACCAGGGAAAGGUCAAAUAAUGAGAGGGAAAAUAAGAACCAAAACGGUUCAGCAUUUCUAAUGCCUUUAACUCCAAAUGGAAGGAAAUUAGUUCUCACAAUAACUCUUAGGGGCAGAAGCUCUUGCCUAUUCCUUGUCUGUCCUCAAGUGGACUCAGAGGGAGUGACCUCAAGUGCCAGCUAGUGACUGCUUUUUGUUUUACUUUGAAAAAUACCUAAAUGAUCUAAGUAUUCCCCACCCCACCCCCAUCUGUACUUCUGAGAUACUUUAGAAGUUGGUCAGGAGUUAGAAAUCAAAAUUGGUGUCCUGAGCUCCAGGCACCCUGGGUCAUGCUUAUUUGCAUUCGUCUAAGAUUAUAGUCUACGAAAGCGAGGAAUGGCCUCCCCGGAUGCAGGCACACAUGCACCUGUGGAAUAUUUUGGACAUAGUUUUAGGCACGACUUCUCAUAACUCCUCCAGAGGUUGUAGGGAUGUGAAAACCUCAGAUUUAGAAGCCCUGAUGAUCAAGGUUCGUUGGGAAGCAUAGGGCCCAAGC